GUUGGCUGAAAUUGAAAAUGUGGAAGCCAUAGACAGAGAGCUGGCUACAGGCCAUCUUCUAGAGAUUAGAAUUAUUCAUGGCCACAUGAAGGCAUGUGAGUGUGCACGGCAAGACCUGUGUAGUCCAUUUAGUCCCAAGGGCCUCAAACCUCAUUGCUCCUGAACCACUCAGAUAUGAGAAUCCAGGUUCCACCAGGGUAGAAAAUGCUUUUGUGGGAGACACACCUGCCCAGAUUCAUUCAUUCAAGCGGUGGGAGAAGCCCUGGUGUUCCAGUCUCAAAGGUUUUGCGACUGUGGCAAACAUCCAGAAGAAAUGGUUUGAAGGAAGGAGGAUUCCUUUUGGCUCACUGCUUCUGAGGUAUCAGUCCCUGGUCACCUGGGUCUGAGGAACACUUGUGGACAGCACAGCAUCAAAACUGCAUCAAGAGACUCGAUUGCCAUAAGAAUUAAUGACCAUCCUACCGUCUACCUGAAUAUAGCUGCAACUAGGCUCCUCAGGAACUCCACACAAGCUUUGCCUCUGUGGCUCUGGCAGGAUGGAAUCUGGCUAGAUUCCCCCACUCCUACCCCAAUUCCCAUCCUUCCAUCCUCCCAACCCCCCACCCCCUGGAUGGGUGCCUGCAAAGCCCUUUCUUUUCCUGAUACUCUUUAAGGUGAGGCACUGGCCACUGGCCACACUGGCUGACUGUGGAACUGGGCUUUUCCUCAAACUGGGCUUUAAGGUUCUUCCUCAAAGCGCUAUCUUGGGAUUCAGGAAUUACAAGGAGGGACAAGAAGAAGGCCAAGAGACCAUGGACAGGAAGGUGUGUUUCAAGCCAUCUUUACCACACAGGGCAUUGCCUUUUCUCUUUCCUGAACACUGCAAUGGGCCUUGGUCUCUC